CAUCAGGAUCACACAGAAACCAAGCUGGUGGAGGGCUGGGACUCGCCCUCUGCAAGCGAUUCGCGGGGCUAAUGGGAGGACACAUAUGGAUAGAGAGCGGGGGGCUGGAGAAAGGAUGCACGACUUCCUUCAUCAUCAGGCUCGGAGUAUGCAACGCUCCUCCGACCAAUUCACCCGCACUCCGCCUGGCCGUCAAAUCUCAGAGCAGGCAGUUGAACUGGUGAUCUGAGAUAUACAGAGACUUCUUUUACGAAACCUCCGUCUGGAAAAGACCUUAUUUAACUACGUAACGGUACGGUGAGUAAGUGAGCUCAUACGCAAAUGAAACGGGAAGCACUCGGAACCUUGGGACUGGUAGUGUUUUUACGCAACUUAUGGUUUUGUUGUUGUUGUAAAUAACUAAUCCGAUUGACAGGACAAGGGUUGUAUUGUCACCAUGAUUGGACAAUCCGAAUAUUAUACCUUAAUAAGUGUUUUCAGGUGAAUAUAAGUUUACAACGAUCGACCCGUUUA